UCUACGGAUUCAGAAUGGACUUGACCCAUC
rnacentral:piRNA from 1 species